GAUGAACGCUGGCGGCGUGCCUAAUACAUGCAAGUCGAGCGAACGGACGAGAAGCUUGCUUCUCUGAUGUUAGCGGCGGACGGGUGAGUAACACGUGGAUAACCUACCUAUAAGACUGGGAUAACUUCGGGAAACCGGAGCUAAUACCGGAUGAUAUUUUGAACCGCAUGGUUCAAAAGUGAAAGACGGUCUUGCUGUCACUUAUAGAUGGAUCCGCGCUGCAUUAGCUAGUUGGUAAGGUAACGGCUUACCAAGGCAACGAUGCAUAGCCGACCUGAGAGGGUGAUCGGCCACACUGGAACUGAGACACGGUCCAGACUCCUACGGGAGGCAGCAGUAGGGAAUCUUCCGCAAUGGGCGAAAGCCUGACGGAGCAACGCCGCGUGAGUGAUGAAGGUCUUCGGAUCGUAAAACUCUGUUAUUAGGGAAGAACAUAUGUGUAAGUAACUGUGCACAUCUUGACGGUACCUAAUCAGAAAGCCACGGCUAACUACGUGCCAGCAGCCGCGGUAAUACGCAGGUGGCAAGCGUUAUCCGGAAUUAUUGGGCGUAAAGCGCGCGUAGGCGGUUUUUUAAGUCUGAUGUGAAAGCCCACGGCUCAACCGUGGAGGGUCAUUGGAAACUGGAAAACUUGAGUGCAGAAGAGGAAAGUGGAAUUCCAUGUGUAGCGGUGAAAUGCGCAGAGAUAUGGAGGAACACCAGUGGCGAAGGCGACUUUCUGGUCUGUAACUGACGCUGAUGUGCGAAAGCGUGGGGAUCAAACAGGAUUAGAUACCCUGGUAGUCCACGCCGUAAACGAUGAGUGCUAAGUGUUAGGGGGUUUCCGCCCCUUAGUGCUGCAGCUAACGCAUUAAGCACUCCGCCUGGGGAGUACGACCGCAAGGUUGAAACUCAAAGGAAUUGACGGGGACCCGCACAAGCGGUGGAGCAUGUGGUUUAAUUCGAAGCAACGCGAAGAACCUUACCAAAUCUUGACAUCCUUUGACAACUCUAGAGAUAGAGCCUUCCCCUUCGGGGGACAAAGUGACAGGUGGUGCAUGGUUGUCGUCAGCUCGUGUCGUGAGAUGUUGGGUUAAGUCCCGCAACGAGCGCAACCCUUAAGCUUAGUUGCCAUCAUUAAGUUGGGCACUCUAAGUUGACUGCCGGUGACAAACCGGAGGAAGGUGGGGAUGACGUCAAAUCAUCAUGCCCCUUAUGAUUUGGGCUACACACGUGCUACAAUGGACAAUACAAAGGGCAGCGAAACCGCGAGGUCAAGCAAAUCCCAUAAAGUUGUUCUCAGUUCGGAUUGUAGUCUGCAACUCGACUACAUGAAGCUGGAAUCGCUAGUAAUCGUAGAUCAGCAUGCUACGGUGAAUACGUUCCCGGGUCU
rnacentral:rRNA from 1 species